AACAGAGACACAUUGGCUACCAGUCUAAAUAGGUUUUGUUUCUGUGUUGUUUUGUUUUGCUUUGUUUUUGGUCUGGGCAUUUGUCGAAGUUCUGAGGAUCCUGUUACAAAUAACCUCGUGCAGCUUUCUUUGUAUCUUUUUGAAAUAUGAUCUUUCUAUAGUUUUCUUCUAACCUCUAGCCAAAAAGAAAUGUUUCUAUAUCACUGAAGGCAACGGUCUUGACUUAAAGCUGCCUCAUGAGAGUCUACUUUUGCCAAGUACUGAGAAGUGGUUCCACUGGCCUAUCCACCUCCCACCUCGUUUCAGAGGCCUAAACUUUGGAAUGGAUAGACUAAGCACAUCAGUUUGUUUGGGGAAGACUAGAAAGUCAAAUCAUUUCUUCUGAAGAGGCAAGAAUUGAGGUUGCUGCAGACUUGUAUGACUUUGCCACCGGUAACUUGGAUACCUUCCACCAGUAACAUUUAAGGCACAUAACUGGGUAUUCAUAGUACUCGGGGGCCUUGCCAUUGUGUGAUUAAGACCACAGACUGUGAUGCUGCACUGCCCAUCUACCACACUGAAAAGCUGUCUGGACUUCUGCAAGUUUCUUAACCUCUCUGUACCUCAGACUCCUCAUCUGUACAAAAAAAGAAAUUAUAUAUGUAUAUAUAUACAGUGGUCACCUCACAGGAUUUUUUUGAAGAAUAAAAAAUUUUAAAUAAAUAAAACACUUAAUACAUGAAACACGACUGCAUUAUUUUUACUCAUUAAUUUUAAAUUGCAAGAGAGAAAAGGAGAAAUGAUUAUCAAGCAUUAUUUGUUCCUAUGAGGAUAAGUGGGAUUUUGAUAUAAGCAAAAC
rnacentral:lncRNA from 10 species